GACGGAGGGUGCUAGCGUUGUUCGGAAUCACUGGGCGUAAAGGGCGCGUAGGCGGCCUCAGGUGUCGGAUGUGAAAGCCCGGGGCUCAACCCCGGAGGUGCAUCCGAAACUCUGGGCUGGAGGUCGGAAGACGGAGGGUGGAAUAGCCCAGUGUAGAGGUGAAAUUCGUAGAUAUUGGGUGGAACACCGGUGGCGAAAGCGGCUCUCUGGUCCGGACCUGACGCUGAGGCGCGAAAGCGUGGGGAGCAAACAGG
rnacentral:rRNA from 1 species